rnacentral:rRNA from 1 species
GAUGAACGCUGGCGGCGUGCCUAAUACAUGCAAGUCGAGCGAACAGACGAGGAGCUUGCUCCUUCGACGUUAGCGGCGGACGGGUGAGUAACACGUAGGUAACCUACCUAUAAGACUGGGAUAACUUCGGGAAACCGGAGCUAAUACCGGAUAAUAUUUCGAACCGCAUGGUUCGAUAGUGAAAGAUGGCUUUGCUAUCACUUAUAGAUGGACCGGCGCCGUAUUAGCUAGUUGGUAAGGUAACGGCUUACCAAGGCAACGAUACGUAGCCGACCUGAGAGGGUGAUCGGCCACACUGGAACUGAGACACGGUCCAGACUCCUACGGGAGGCAGCAGUAGGGAAUCUUCCGCAAUGGGCGAAAGCCUGACGGAGCAACGCCGCGUGAGUGAUGAAGGUCUUCGGAUCGUAAAACUCUGUUAUUAGGGAAGAACAAACGUGUAAGUAACUGUGCACGUCUUGACGGUACCUAAUCAGAAAGCCACGGCUAACUACGUG